rnacentral:rRNA from 1 species
CAGGAUUAGAUACCCUGGUAGUCCACGCCGUAAACGAUGAGUGCUAAGUGUUAGGGGGUUUCCGCCCCUUAGUGCUGCAGCUAACGCAUUAAGCACUCCGCCUGGGGAGUACGGCCGCAAGGCUGAAACUCAAAGGAAUUGACGGGGGCCCGCACAAGCGGUGGAGCAUGUGGUUUAAUUCGAAGCAACGCGAAGAACCUUACCAGGUCUUGACAUCCCGCUGCCCGGCAUGGAGACAUGCCUUUCCCUUCGGGGACAGCGGUGACAGGUGGUGCAUGGUUGUCGUCAGCUCGUGUCGUGAGAUGUUGGGUUAAGUCCCGCAACGAGCGCAACCCUUAAUCUUAGUUGCCAUCAUUCAGUUGGGCACUCUAAGGUGACUGCCGGUGACAAACCGGAGGAAGGUGGGGAUGACGUCAAAUCAUCAUGCCCCUUAUGACCUGGGCUACACACGUGCUACAAUGGACGGUACAGAGGGCUGCAAACCCGCGAGGGGGAGCCAAUCCCACAAAACCGUUCCCAGUUCGGAUUGCAGGCUGCAACUCGCCUGCAUGAAGCCGGAAUCGCUAGUAAUCGUGGAUCAGCAUGCCACGGUGAAUACGUUCCCGGGUCUUGUACACACCGCCCGUCACACCACGAGAGUUUGUAACACCCGAAGUCGGUGGGGUAACCCUUACGGGAGCCAGCCGCCGAAGGUGGGACAGAUGAUUGGGGUGAAGUCGUAACAAGGUAACC